GAAUUUUCUUAAUUUAAAUAGGGUUAUUCCCAAAUUUAAUUAAACAAACAACCAAGAUCCAUAUGCCCGAAUGGGCGUACACAACAAAAUCAAAGUACUAGCGGAAACCAAAUAGACUCUUUAUUUAACUAAUAUCCUAGGAUUCCAUUAAUGUGUGAAACCCUGUCCAGUCCAUUCCAAGUCGUCCCUUAUUCUGCAAUAAAAUGUCAUUUACAUGGGUAAGUUUCAAAAACUUAGUACGUGAAUAUAUAAUAAAUCUUAUAGUUCAUGAAUUUCUUUUAGGGCAUAUCAGCCCUCCUUGGUUACCAAUAGAGGUUCUUAUGAACCCCCCCUUUUUCCUUUACAUGGGUCAUCGAGUAAAACCUGGCCAUGCUGUCAGACCCCGUCUGGUCAUGUAGCCUGCUUGUCAGGACCAUUAAGUUCCUUUCAUUUCAUGUGUCGUCAAAUCCCUAAGGAUCUGUAAAUUUCGUAUGAUUGAGCAUUAGUGAGGAGAGAUUGAGUGAUCCACAAAGACGAGAAGUUCAUUUCUUUUCUUACCCAAUAGAAAUACUGAAAUAUCAAACAGAAAAUCAAAAGACAGAAAAUCAAAAGACCAAAAAACAGAAAAACAGGAACAGAAAACAGAAAAAUAAACAGAAGAAAAAGAAAAAAAAGACCUUAACUUCCCUUGAACCAAAAAAAAACAAUCAAACAAUAACUUUGUUUUACGAAACGAUGCCUCUAAUCUCCCAAUGGAGAUUCAAUCCGUAAACCAAAAUUCAUUCAUAUCCUUACAUCAUUUCAUUUUUAAUAACAAUACUUCAUACUAAAAUAUUCUAGUACGUAGAAGGAUUGAAUAUAUCCACGUACCUUGAUCUCCUCGUAGUGUUUUCUCCUAACACUUGCAAGCCCUAGCCGAGUCCUUCCCUUCCUCUUCCUUCAAAU
rnacentral:lncRNA from 1 species